UACAGAGGGGGCUAGCGUUAUUCGGAAUUAUUGGGCGUAAAGGGCGCGUAGGCGGCCAUGCGUGUCUUCCGUGAAAUCCCUCGGCUUAACUGAGGACGUGCGGAAGAAACUGCAAGGCUCGAGUCCGGGAGAGGGGGGUGGAAUUCCCAGUGUAGCGGUGAAAUGCGUAGAUAUUGGGAAGAACACCAGUGGCGAAGGCGGGUCUCUGGGCAGUAACUGACGCUGAGGAGCGAAAGCGUGGGGAGCGAACAGG
rnacentral:rRNA from 1 species